AAAUGAAUAGACGGGGGCCCGCACAAGCGGUGGAGCAUGUGGUUUAAUUCGACGCAACGCGAAAAACCUUACCAGGGCUUGACAUCCUCUGGAUCAUAUGGAAACGUAUGAGUGCCUUUAGGGGAGCAGAGAGACAGGUGGUGCAUGGUUGUCGUCAGCUCGUGUCGUGAGAUGUUGGGUUAAGUCCCGCAACGAGCGCAACCCCUGUAUUUAGUUGCUAACGGGUAAAGCCGAGAACUCUAGAUAGACUGCCGGUGAUAAACCGGAGGAAGGUGGGGAUGACGUCAAAUCAUCAUGCCCCUUAUGUCCUGGGCUACACACGUGCUACAAUGGGCGGUACAGACGGAAGCGAAGCCGUGAGGUGGAGCAAAUCUGAGAAAGCCGUUCUCAGUUCGGAUUGCAGGCUGCAACUCGCCUGCAUGAAGUUGGAAUCGCUAGUAAUCGCGAAUCAGCAUGUCGCGGUGAAUACGUUCCCGGGCCUUGCACACACCGCCCGU
rnacentral:rRNA from 1 species